GACGAACGCUGGCGGCGUGCUUAACACAUGCAAGUCGAGCGGUAAGGCCCUUUCGGGGGUACGACGAGCGGCGAACGGGUGAGUAACACGUGGGUGACCUGCCCUCAGCUCUGGGAUAAGCCUGGGAAACCGGGUCUAAUACCGGAUACGACUCCAUGACGCAUGUUGUGGGGUGGGAAAGCCUUGUGCGGCUGAGGAUGGGCCCGCGGCCUAUCAGCUUGUUGGGUGGGGUGAUGGCCACCAAGGCGACGACGGGUAGCCGGCCUGAGAGGGCGACCGGCCGACACUGGGACUGAGACACGGCCCAGACUCCUACGGGAGGGCAGCAGUGGGGAAUCUUGCGCAAUGGGCGAAAGCCUGACGCAGCGACGCCGCGUGAGGGAUGA
rnacentral:rRNA from 1 species